AUGCUAAUGUUUUCUGAUUCUUCCAUACUAAGUACAUUUUUCCCCUUGUUAAUCGUGGAUGGAUCUGUUUUGUUACUUUUGUUUUGUGGUCAUUAUUUUACAAUUGGCCUCCUUUUAAUUUUGUAUUUUAGAGGGAACAUAAAAAUUCUAAAUUGCGUCUGUUAUCAUGUCACUUACCUUAGGGCCGUUGGUUGCCGGAAAAUGAAGACAAAUGUUGCUGAUGGAUUGCAAAUAUGGCUGCAUUGA